rnacentral:rRNA from 1 species
AUUGAACGCUGGCGGCAUGCUUUACACAUGCAAGUCGAACGGUAACAGGCCGCAAGGUGCUGACGAGUGGCGAACGGGUGAGUAAUGCAUCGGAACGUGCCCAGUCGUGGGGGAUAACGCAGCGAAAGCUGUGCUAAUACCGCAUACGAUCUAUGGAUGAAAGCGGGGGACCGUAAGGCCUCGCGCGAUUGGAGCGGCCGAUGUCAGAUUAGGUAGUUGGUGGGGUAAAGGCUCACCAAGCCAACGAUCUGGAGCUGGUCUGAGAGGACGACCAGCCACCGUGGGACUGGGACACGGCCCAGACUCCUACGGGAAGCAGCAGUGGGGAAUUUUGGACAAUGGGCGCAAGCCUGAUCCAGCAAUGCCGCGUGCAGGAAGAAGGCCUUCGGGUUGUAAACUGCUUUUGUACGGAACGAAAAGGUUUGGGUUAAUACCCUGGGCCGAUGACGGUACCGUAAGAAUAAGCACCAGCUAACUACGUGCCAGCCGCCGCCGUAA